AAGUCGUAACAAGGUUUCCGUAGGUGAACCUGCGGAAGGAUCAUUAACGAAUUUAUGAUUGAAGUUGUAGCUGGCCGCGAGGCAUGUGCACGCUUCUUUCGCAAAUCCACACAACACCUGUGCACCUUCGCGUGGGCUUUUCUGGCAGCUAGAGGGAAGUUGAUUCCCUCUGUUACCGGGAUUGCUCGCGUCUUUUUUUCAUAAACUCUUGUAUGUCUUCAGAAUGGUAUACUUUGAUGUAAUAAGAACGCAUCUAAAUACAACUUUCAACAACGGAUCUCUUGGCUCUC
rnacentral:misc_RNA from 1 species